rnacentral:rRNA from 1 species
CCUACGGGUGGCAGCAGUGGGGAAUAUUGGACAAUGGGGGGAACCCUGAUCCAGCCAUGCCGCGUGUGUGAAGAAGGCCCUCGGGUUGUAAAGCACUUUCAGUGAGGAAGAACGCCUGGUGGUUAAUACCCAUCAGGAAAGACAUCACUCACAGAAGAAGCACCGGCUAACUCCGUGCCAGCAGCCGCGGUAAUACGGAGGGUGCGAGCGUUAAUCGGAAUUACUGGGCGUAAAGCGCGCGUAGGUGGCUUGAUAAGCCGGUUGUGAAAGCCCCGGGCUCAACCUGGGAACGGCAUCCGGAACUGUCAAGCUAGAGUGCAGGGGAGGAAGGUAGAAUUCCCGGUGGAGCGGUGAAAAGCGUUGAGGUCGGGAGGAAUACCAGUGGCGAAGGCGGCCUUCUGGACUGACACUGACACUGAGGUGCGAAAGCGUGGGUAGCCAACAGGAUUAGAUACCCUAGUAGUC